rnacentral:lncRNA from 10 species
UCUCCAUCUUUACUCAUUAAUCAAAGCUAUUUUUUAAGUCUGUCUCUGAUAACACUAAUAACUGGGUCAUCUGUGGAUGUUUUUAUUGCCUUUUCCCUCAUAGUUCAGAUUUUUAAUAUUCUUUGAAAUUUUUGACACAAUGUUAGCUAUUAGAUAUGAUACAUUUUAUAGUGUCUGGAUGAUAUAUUCCUGGUGGGAAGAUAGAGUGGUGGCAGGCAGACUGCAUUAAUUCAAUCAAUCAUUCAGUUGACUUGAAGCUAAGUUACAAUUUUUAUAAGGUAUAAUUUACUUUGAUUCUCCUGUUUGUAUCUCUACAGAGUUCUUAAAUGAGAUCCUGGGAUAUGUACUAGGGGCUUUCCCUUUUGAAGGGUUGUGAAAUAACAUUUUUAUCUCUCAGUGCCAUGAUGCAUAAAAACUAAAAAUCUUUUUUCUGGCUUUCAGCAAGUUUCCGCCUCUUUUUUUUCUUUUUUUUUUUUUUUUUUUUUUUUUUUUCCCUCUCUGAGCAAUCCAAGAAUUCAGCAAAUACUCAAGAGGAAAACAAGGAAAGUGCCAGGCUCACUUCUCUGAACUUCCUGUCUUACUAGGAUCUCUGCUCUCCCAAGUGCGAUUGGUUUAAAGGCCCUGUUCUUUUUGUUUCUCCAGUCCUGUGUGGUUUCCAUAACUUGUUUGCUUCUCUGAUUCUUAACAGUAACUCUCUUCUUGGGCCUUUUACCCAGAUUUGGCAAAUUCCAUAAUGGAAGAAGUAGCUGCAGAAUGUCUGCUCACUUCUCUGGUUAAAAUACUUUUGUAUUGGGAGUCCCCAAGACCACGCCAGCACCCCAGGUUCAGUGAUUCAACAGAAGCACUCACAAGGCUCAGCAUAUAGUCAUACUCAUGGCUAUGAUUUAUUAGAGAAAAGUACUACAAAGCAAAUCAGCAAAGGGGAAAAGGACAUGGGGCACCCUCUGCCCAGCACAAAUCAUAAUUCCAGACUCCUAGAAGCAAAGCGGGAAUUCAGCAUAAACCAU